rnacentral:rRNA from 1 species
UACGAAGGGGGCUAGCGUUGCUCGGAAUCACUGGGCGUAAAGGGUGCGUAGGCGGGUCUUUAAGUCAGGGGCGAAAUCCUGGAGCUCAACUCCAGAACUGCCUUUGAUACUGAAGAUCUUGAGUUCGGGAGAGGUGAGUGGAACUGCGAGUGUAGAGGUGUAAUUCGUAGAUAUUCGCAAGAACACCAGUGGCGAAGGCGGCUCACUGGCCCGGUACUGACGCUGAGGUGCGAAAGCGUGGGGAGCAAACAGG